GAGUUUGAUCUUGGCUCAGGACGAACGCUGGCGGCGUGCUUAACACAUGCAAGUCGAACGGUGAUCUCGGGGCUUGCUCCGGGUGAUCAGUGGCGAACGGGUGAGUAACACGUGAGCAACCUACCCUUGACUCUGGGAUAACUCCGGGAAACCGGUGCUAAUACCGGAUAGGACUUCUGCGAGCAUCCGUGGGGGUGGAAAGAUUUAUCGGUCAGGGAUGGGCUCGCGGCCUAUCAGCUUGUUGGUGGGGUGAUGGCCUACCAAGGCGACGACGGGUAGCCGGCCUGAGAGGGCGACCGGCCACACUGGGACUGAGACACGGCCCAGACUCCUACGGGAGGCAGCAGUGGGGAAUAUUGCUCAAUGGGCGCAAGCCUGAAGCAGCGACGCCGCGUGAGGGAUGAAGGCCUUCGGUUGUAACC
rnacentral:rRNA from 1 species